rnacentral:rRNA from 1 species
GUGGGGGAUAUUGCACAAUGGAGGAAACUCUGAUGCAGCGAUGCCGCGUGAGGGAAGAAGGUUUUCGGAUUGUAAACCUCUGUGGAGCGGGACGAUAAUGACGGUACCGCUCAAGGAAGCCACGGCUAACUACGUGCCAGCAGCCGCGGUAAUACGUAGGUGGCGAGCGUUGUCCGGAAUUACUGGGUGUAAAGGGAGUGUAGGCGGGAAUGCAAGUCAGAAGUGAAAACUAUGGGCUUAACCCAUAGCCUGCUUUUGAAACUGUAUUUCUUGAGUGAAGCAGAGGCAAGCGGAAUUCCUAGUGUAGCGGUGAAAUGCGUAGAUAUUAGGAGGAACACCAGUGGCGAAGGCGGCCUACUGGGCACCAACUGACGCUGAGGCUCGAAAGUGUGGGUAGCAAACAGGAUUAGAUACCCUGGUAGUCC